CCGGCCCAGGAGCCCUCCGGUCUCCGGGUCGUGGCCAUCGAGCACCUCCAGCUCCACGGCGAAGGGCGUCUGCACGUCCCGCUUCACCAGCCGCAGCAAGGGCUUCUCGGGCUCCAGAGCCCAGAGGAGCCCCAUGGGCUCGAGGCCCGUGAAGCUGCCGCCCAGCGCGGGCGCGCGCUCGAGGUCCAGCUGGCCGUGGGCGUCGGCGCAGUAGCGCGCAUGGGCUCGGAAGAGCGCGUCCUUCUCGUCGCGCAGGGACGCGCGCAGCGUGACCGGCUGCCCCGGGACCAGGCCGCGCACGGCGAUGCGCACCGGCUCGUCCCAGCGGCAGCGGCCCGCAGGCUCCAGCGUCACCGUCGCCGCCAUCCGGAUCCCAGCGGAGAAGGGGCGGCCCGGCUGAGUCAAGGGCAGGGCCUGGCGUCUCUCCACCUCCCUGGGAGGCAGUCGCAAUUGGAAUGUUUGCGCUGCUCCCGUUGGGCGGCCGAAGGUACACUUGCUGAACCUUUGUGAGGUCUCCUGGAGUUUGUGCAAUCCACUACUGCCUGCCUGGAAGAGUAUCUGCUAAAAUAAGAGUUUUAUGGUAAUUAUUAAUCCUGCGGUCCAAUAUGGCGAGUGUCGAAAUAGAAGUACAAAGAUUGCUGACAGCUAAAGGAUUGGGAAAGAUACCUGGCAGUUCCAAGAAGCUUGAGUAUUGUUGACUUUAAAAAAUGCACAGCGUGAAGAGUUAGUACCGACAGUGACACCUGGCUUCUCCUUGCUGCCUAUGACAAAAGAUACAAGAGGAAGAGGUUUCAACUCAGAGGGUGGAACCAAGAGCUACAGAUAACAACUCACAGAGAGUAAACUGAGCACCAAUGGAAGAAUUGGCAACAUGUUCUCAGCUGGAUUUCAGAAUGGCUAGGGGCCAGUGAGUGUCGUGUGCCUCCCAUAGUCCCCAUUAUUGAACAGGAAUAUCUUUCACAGAUCUUCAGAUUGAGAAGAAAGAUACUCAAGAAGCUAUACCGAAGGAAUUAUACCUGAGGAACUUCAUCUGUACCUGGACCUGAUAUAAAUGAUACAAUCUUAGACCUUGAGCCUGAGCAUGAUGCUAUAAUGGAAUGAGACUUUGGGCGGGGGCGGGCUUUAAAGGAGGGAUGGCCAUAUUUUACAGGUGGGAGGAAUGUGAACCUUUGUGGCUAGAAGGCAGAUUUUCCAAAGGUGGUUACAAUGUUUCCCAUUCCACCUGCUCUUUUAGAAUCUUUCCACUCUCCUUUUGAGAGGUGGACUCUAUGUUUUCCUUGAACUUGGUGGGUCUUUGUGAUUGCCUUGACCAUUAGUGUACAGCAAGCGUGAUGCUGUGUAGCUUCCAAGACUAGGUCAAAAACAUGCCAUACAAUUCAGCUUUGCUACGUUGGGAUGCUCACUCUUGGAACCCAGCCCAAUUAGCCAUUGUAAAGGCCCACAAGGAGAGAACUGAGACCCUGUGAACCAUAGCCCUGAGAUCUUAGCUGACAGCCAAUACCAACUUGCCUGCCAUGUAAGGACACAGGAAGAAGACAGCCGUCUAUAAGCCAGGAAGAGGUGCCACCAGGAACUGAAUCUGCCAGAACGUUGAUCUUGGACUUCCCAGCCUCCAGAACUGUGAGAAAUAAAUGUCUGUUGUUU